GAGCUCGGUUUGGAUGGCUGGAAUGAGGGAUGGGGAGGUGAGAAUAGAAAAACAGGUGUCAGUGAGGCAUCUUUCAUGUCCUUCAGAAGAUGGAUGGGUGUGCCAGGCAGGGACCUGCAUUUGUGUGCAGGCAGGAGUGUGGGAGGGACUGGCUGGGCUGCCAGAGAGGCAGUGAUUUGGGGAAAAGCGAGUCACAAUCCAAAGCCUGCUUGGCAAAGCUGGCUGGGAAGCAUCCACUGUGGUGGCCUGCAUGGCUCAGUAAGCCUGUGCAAAGCAGGAGGCCUCCUUUUUGCUAGUAAAGAGCAAUGGAAAGAAAAAGAGAAAGAGAGAAUGGAGCCAGGGAAAGGGAAGGAAGCAAAAUUGUGUUUACAUGACAGAGCAGCAUGAUCCUCAUUCAAAUAAACACUCUAGGCCACCCAAAAAUCUUAUCAGACUCAGCUGGAUGGAAUCAGAUCCUCUAAGAAGUUCCUGGUCAACAGAGAAGCUGCAGCAUGAGAUCCAAGACUUGAAAAUAAAAACUCAACAGGGAAAAAGGAGAACAAAGGAGAAAACCCUGCUCGAGCUUAGGUGUGACACUUUGGUUUUCCUGCCCAAACAAAGUACCUGGAUUUAAUGGCACAGAGCAGGGAGGAGUUCAACAUCCCAUCAGGAGAAGCUUCACUCUGCUCCUAUGCUGCUUGCCCCUGUGUCAGAGAGGCAUUGAAUUAAGUGAUGGAGGAAGGUGGAUCUGCUCUGCAGUGCAAAGAGACAA